GUAUUCCCAUUGCCUAACCCAGUGCACAUUGUAGGUCUCAUUAAAUGGUUUGUUGAAUGAAAAAAAUGAAUCAUCAACAGAUAUUAAUUGGGCGUCUGCUCUGUGAUCACUAAG
rnacentral:miRNA from 1 species